rnacentral:rRNA from 1 species
UACGAAGGGGGCUAGCGUUGCUCGGAAUCACUGGGCGUAAAGGGUGCGUAGGCGGGUUCUUAAGUUAGAGGUGAAAGCCUGGAGCUCAACUCCAGAACUGCCUUUAAUACUGGGAAUCUUGAGUUCGGAAGAGGUGAGUGGAACUGCGAGUGUAGAGGUGAAAUUCGUAGAUAUUCGCAAGAACACCAGUGGCGAAGGCGGCACGCUGGGCCAUAACUGACGCUAAGACUCGAAAGCAUGGGUAGCGAACGGG